UUAAGAGAUGUGAUUUUGCCAUGUUUCCCAGGCAGGCGGAUCACGAGGUCAGGAGUUCGAGACCAGCCUGGCCAACAUGGUGAAACCCUGUCUCUAAAAAUACAAAAAUUAGCUGGGCGCAGUAGUGCGUGCCUGUAGUCCCAGCUACUUGGGAGGCUGAGGCAGGAGAAUCACUUGAACCCGGGAAGCAGAGGUUGCAGUGAGCCAAGAUCACACCACUGCUCUCCAGCCUGUGUGACAGAGUGAGAUUCCAUCUCAAAAAAAAAAAAAAAAAAAAAAAAUUGGCCAGGCAUGGUGGCUCACACCUAUAAUCCCAGCACUUUGGGAGGCCAAGGCGGGCAGAUCACGAGGUCAAGAGUUUGAGACCAGCCUGGCCAACAUGGUGAAAGCCUGUCUCUACUAAGAAUACAAAAAUUAGCUGAGCAUGAUGGCAGGCACCUGUAAUCCCAGCUACUUGGGAGGCUGAGGCAGGAGAAUUGCUUGAACCCGGGAGGUGGAGGUUGCAGUGAGCCAAGAUCGCGCCACUGUACUCCAGCCUGGGCAACAGAGCUAGGCUCCUCAAUCUAUAAUCUGCUUUUAUUACCCAAGUUUUAAAAGUCGUCUUUUCCUCUUCUAUGGGCAAAUAUAUAUUCCCAUAAAAAUAAGCCAAAAAAUGUUUAUUAAAAAUGCAAAACUUAUUUUAGGUUUGUUAGCUGACUUGUUUUAAUUGACUAGCUUGCUAAUGAGGGGCUACUUCACUCGUUUGGAUUACCCACACUUCUUUAGUGUCUUUCUCCUCUAGUGCUCUUUUAAGUAGCAGGGUUGUGUUUCAAAAGUUUUAGCAUUUGAGAGAAACUCAAUAAAUAGAAUGAGUUUUAAGGUGGUUUGUGCUGCUCCCAACUCAUGCUCAUAUCUGCCGUGCUUAUACCUCUGACUGUGAGCAUGAUUGGUCCACAGAUAAAAGUUUUACUGCACACAAAGUAUGAAGAGGAGGGGACAUCAGGGAGGGUUUGGAACAAAAGGAGGAAAGGGGAGAAUCCAGGAUUUAAAGAGUGGAUUUAAAAGGUGAGCAAGGUGAAAAAGAUAAAACAUGAAAAUUUUAAAGGAGGCAGAGAUUUAUGAGAAGAGUAAGGUUUAUUGAAAAGGAACAAAAGGUAAAGAAAGCAGAAAGAGAAAGCAAGUCCAGGAAGAAUGGGCGGGGUCAUGGUGAUUGAAUCUGUACAUGUGCUCCGCAUGGCUGUGUUCUGGCCUUGAAGGUUGGCUGAUGCUGCCAUCAGCACUUUCUUUGUCAGUAUCUGGAGUCUCACAAAGUAGCAAACCCCACAGGGUUACUUUCCUCUCUGACAGCAAUGCUGCCUAGAUGUGAGUGCUCAGGUUGUGGUUGGGGAUCAAGAACGGCUAGCAAAUCUAACUUGGUGAUGGAUUCUGUGUAACCCAGGACCUGGGGAAAUACAGGAACUAAAAUCUGUUCUUGUGACUAUUUGAAUUCUCAAUGCAGUCUUGCAUCCCUCGUUCAACUGCUUGGCCAGACUUCCUUGUACUGGGUGGGGAUCCCUCCCCACUCAAGUUCCACGGGGUGAGCGGAUGAGUGGUGUGUGAAAGGGCACACCUCACUUAGGUCUCCUUUGGCACCAGGGAGAGGAAACAGAGGUAAAGCUGUCUCUGUCUCUGCCUCAGACCCAUGCCUACUCCUUUGGCACUGGUCACUCAGCAGUAGAAUAGUAGUAUAGUAGUAGACGGCCCUAUCUGCAUAGUCACACACCUCGGGUUUUGAGCAUUGUGUAAUGACCAGAGUAAACUGGCCUGGCUGUUUGCCUCUGGUCCACAGCUCAGAUGAUCAUGGUGUACAGAGCCUGGUGGAACCCAGUUACAUCUCCACUGUUAUUUAAGGGCAAUUUAUUUGCUCUUCCUCAGAGUUCCCCUUUACAGUCUGCAGGCAAAUAUACAGAUACUUUAGUAAAUGUUUAUAGGAAGACCUGCUGGCAGAACUGGUCUCAUGGCUGCAGACUAUGAACAGAAGUUGUUUCUCCACUUUGGGAAAUUACAUACAGCUAAGAAUAAACUUGUUCACUCAGAAUAGAUUUUUGGAUCCCACACAUCCUGGAAAAAACUGUUUCUUAGUGCCUGUCUGUUAUUGAAAAGAGGACAUCUAAGGUAGAGAUUCAAUUCAUUUCAAAUUUUAGCUUAAUAAAGUAAAAAGAAAUGAUAGAGGUCUUUAAGGAUUCUGUACACUUUGAACACUGGCCACAGAGCUUACUUGGUAAGACUUGGUACCAAUGAAGUUACAGGUUCAUUCUCAAAAAGGGUGUCGUUCUGAGAGCAGAGCUUAGUGGACCCUGUGAGAAGUAUCAGGCCUUUCUACUUCAAGAGACUCAGAGAUCUCUUAGGCUUUAUGUCCUCCCAUUUGAAAGAAAUCAUCCCCUAAACGUUCCCAGAGGAGAGGAUAGGGAAGGAAGAGGCAAGGAGAUGUGACUGGCCCUAGGGAACAACUGUCUGCCCUCACUGUGUACGGGACAACCAAGUCCCAGGCCUCCUCACAGCGUUUUGCUGAUGAAUGUUGAGAGAGAACAUGGCACUCUACGUGAGAGGGCAGCACACACUGCACUGCCCCUCUCGGUACCCUGCCAGCUGUUCCUCCCCCUGAAGACACAGUGGGAGGUUUUAUGCUGGCUUGCAAAGCUGUCAAAAUUAUGCUAGAAGAGUGUCUAGAAUCUUUUCUCACUCACUCACUAUUACUGCCUUUUCAGAGGACUGUCCUUUCUUCUCUGUGUAGAGCACUCUAUUUAAGAUAUGAAUAUUCCCCAAAAUGCUUUCAUAGAGUUUCACAGAAAAUUAGAGGAAGGGUUAAGGCUGCACAGGGCUGGCCCAACCAUUUGCUGUGUGGUGAAGAAUUUCAGUUUCAUUACCUAGAUAUUUUACACAAAUUGGAAGGAAUGAAAGGCAUUUUGUGGUAUUCUGAGGAAUAGAGGCUUGACGUCAAUACAGAAUUUUCAUCUUCUUUCACUAUGUCUAAAGGCUAGUUAACAUCAAUGUCUGUUGUCAGCUGCUCCCCCCUACCUCCCACACACACCACAACUGGGGCCUUUAUUAGAGUAAAAAAUAUAUGAGACAAGAGGGUAAAAGAAUGUAAAUGAAGCCAUGCAAAUUUGUUAGAAAAACAGCUUUAAGUAGAUGGUAAUCAACAGAGGGUCUGUAAUAUCCCUCAAACGGGAAAGACAGUAUUUAUGAACAUCAAUUAUUUAUAGAUUACCUCAUUCACUCUAGAAUAUCCUGAAGAUAUUAUCUACACAUUUUUAUUUGAAACAAAGGGAAGACCAUAGUUUGUUCAAAUUGCUGUCGUGGGAUUAAUUUCAUUUGGGUUAGCAUCUGCUCUCCUCCCCAAAGAGUUUCCCUUGGCUGUGGAAAUUUAACAUUCCAGGACAAUUUAGAAAAUGCUCUCUUGGUUUGUGAGUCAGGAGUUCUGAGUUUGUGCAGUGAGCAGGUCUAUGCAGACCUACCCACAAAGGCUGAGGGAGCUGAAAAGCCAAAGAAAGAGGCUGACAAAUCCAGUUUCUCAGAAAGAAACAUUUAAUAAGAGCUUAUGAACAGAAGUGAUGUCUAGGAGGCCAUGAGACAGUGGAUCCCUGCACCAGCCCUCCAGAAAAUAUCCUUUAUAUAGCAAGGUUUUAGGAUAAAACAUGUGCAGCUAGUCACGCUUGACUUUCUUGCAAAACUUAUCACUGGAGCGAUUGGAUAAGCAUCUUUAUGAGGGGUUGUCUAUGCUCUGGGCACUACCCCUUUAUGAGGGAUAAUCUAUGCUACAGGCAUUGUUUAAAGACUUUGCUGCAGAACAAACCACCUUGGUAUGCAGGAGUCAAACCACCAGUUAGCAUGGUGGUUUCACUCCAAGAUGGCAUCACUCCUGCCAUGCAACAGGCUGUUUUCCUACAGUUUUAAUUCUAUUUCUGUUAUUGACUAUGUGAACUUUGAUAAGACCUGGUGUUUAACUUUCUACUUGGUAGGGGCAAAAUGGUGGGAGAAGGGGAAUGAAAAAAAAAAUCUCUUACUAACUGAAAAAAUAUACUGUGAAGAUAAAAAAUGUCUAACAUUGUCGUAUUGGCAGUGUUUUAAACAUGGCUGUGCCAAGUCUGAGCAUGCCAUGAAGGCAUGGGCAGGAUGUAUGCCAGGCCUGUGAUAAUGGUAGAGAUUUUUAGGCACUGACUAUGCUUCCUGUUGUCUGAAUAGACAUGGGGGCAAUUACAGAAAAGUGGCUGAGAGCCCAGGACAUAGAAAAUAAAGGGGAGGCACAGCCGCAGCCGCUGUGAGUUGGCAUUUUACCAUGUCGGGACCCUCUUGUCUUUAUGAAACUAGAAGGGGCCCUUAGGCAGCUGCUGCUGCAUAAACCUUAAAUAAUAUUGAAAAGGGUUGAUGUGAGAAAUGAAUAGGAAUAAUGGGACUCUGAUAGGUCUGGCUAGUUAGAAGCUCAAGGUUAGUCAAUUAUGUGAGCUAGCAAUCUAUUAACUUGAUGUUAAGGAGGAAGACAGACUUUUUGCUCCAUGUGGGUGAAGGCUCUAUUAAAGAGAGAGCCGAUGUGGGUCAGGUGUGGGAGGUAGUAAGCCACUAAAGAAUUGUUAAUGAGACACUCCUUGUGUGGGUGAAGGCUCAUAAAAGCUCGCUCUCCUGAGCUGGGAUAUGUUCCAGCCUCAGGUAGAUACGAGUGAGGCUGAUUUUGCCAUGAUUAGCAGAGUUACUUAA
ensembl:lncRNA novel transcript, sense intronic to LIMA1